rnacentral:rRNA from 1 species
UACGUAGGGUGCAAGCGUUAUCCGGAAUUAUUGGGCGUAAAGAGCUCGUAGGCGGUUUGUCGCGUCUGCUGUGAAAACUGGAGGCUCAACCUCCAGCCUGCAGUGGGUACGGGCAGACUAGAGUGCGGUAGGGGAGAUUGGAACUCCUGGUGUAGCGGUGGAAUGCGCAGAUAUCAGGAAGAACACCGAUGGCGAAGGCAGAUCUCUGGGCCGUAACUGACGCUGAGGAGCGAAAGCAUGGGGAGCGAACAGG